GAUGAACGCUGGCGGCGUGCUUAACACAUGCAAGUCGAACGAAGAUGCCGGAGUGCUUGCACUUUGGCAGACUGAGUGGCGGACGGGUGAGUAACGCGUGGGUAACCUGCCUUAUACAGGGGGAUAACAGUUGGAAACGACUGCUAAUACCGCAUAAGCGCACGGUAUCGCAUGAUACAGUGUGAAAAACUCCGGUGGUCUGGGAUGGACCCGCGUCCGAUUAGUUAGUUGGCGGGGUAACGGCCCACCAAGACCGCGAUCGGUAGCCGACCUGAGAGGGUGACCGGCCACAUUGGGACUGAGACACGGCCCAGACUCCUACGGGAGGCAGCAGUGGGGAAUAUUGCACAAUGGAGGAAACUCUGAUGCAGCGACGCCGCGUGAGCGAAGAAGUAUUUCGGUAUGUAAAGCUCUGUCAGCAGGGAAGAUAAUGACGGUACCUGACCAAGAAGCCCCGGCUAACUACGUG
rnacentral:rRNA from 1 species